AGAGUUUGAUCCUGGCUCAGAACGAACGCUGGCGGUAUGCUUAACACAUGCAAGUCGAACGCGAAAGUCCUUUCGGGGGCGAGUAGAGUGGCGCACGGGUGAGUAACGCGUAGAUAACCUACCUUUUAGUCUGGAAUAACCCCGCGAAAGUGGGGCUAAUACUGGAUAAUACAAUUUGACUAAUGUUAGAUUGUUGAAAGACGCAAGUUGCUAUUAGAUGGGUCUGCGUAUCAUUAGCUAGUUGGUAGGGUAACGGCCUACCAAGGCUACGAUGAUUAGCGGGUCUGAGAGGAUGAUCCGCCACACUGGAACUGAGACACGGUCCAGACUCCUACGGGAGGCAGCAGUGGGGAAUUUUGCGCAAUGGGGGAAACCCUGACGCAGCAAUACCGCGUGGGUGAAGAAGGCUCUUGGGUCGUAAAGCCCUUUGUCCCAGGGAAGAUAAUGACGGUACCUGGGGAAUAAGCACCGGCUAACUCCGUGCCAGCAGCCGCGGUAAUACGGAGGGUGCAAGCGUUGUUCGGAUUCACUGGGCGUAAAGAGCGCGUAGGCGGUUCUAUAAGCUAAGGGUGAAAUCCCCGAGCUUAACUUGGGAAUUGCUCUUAGAACUGUAGAACUAGAGAGAGUUAGAGGCAGAUGGAAUUCCUGGUGUAGAGGUGAAAUUCGUAGAUAUCAGGAGGAACACCGGUGGCGAAGGCGGUCUGCUGGAGCUUAUCUGACGCUGAGGCGCGAAAGCAUGGGGAGCGAACAGGAUUAGAUACCCUGGUAGUCCAUGCUGUAAACGAUGGAUACCAGCUGUUUGACCAAUCGACAGGUCAAGUGGCGCAGCUAACGCGAAGAGUAUCCCGCCUGGGGAGUACGGUCGCAAGACUAAAACUCAAAGGAAUUGACGGGGGCCCGCACAAGCGGUGGAGCAUGUGGUUUAAUUCGACGCAACGCGAAGAACCUUACCUGGGUUUGACAUCCUCGGACGGUGCUAGAAAUAGUACUUUUUCUUCGGAAACCGAGUGACAGGUGCUGCAUGGCUGUCGUCAGCUCGUGUCGUGAGAUGUUGGGUUAAGUCCCGCAACGAGCGCAACCCUUGUCCUUAGUUACCAGCACGUAAAGGUGGGGACUCUAGGGAGACUGCCGGUGUUAAGCCGGAGGAAGGUGGGGAUGACGUCAAGUCCUCAUGGCCCUUAUAUCCAGGGCUACACACGUGCUACAAUGGCAACUACAAAGAGCUGCGAGACUGCGAAGUCAAGCAAAUCUAAAAAAAGUUGUCUCAGUUCGGAUCGCAGUCUGCAACUCGACUGCGUGAAGUUGGAAUCGCUAGUAAUCGUAGAUCAGCAUGCUACGGUGAAUACGUUCCCGGGCCUUGUACACACCGCCCGUCACACCAUGGGAGUUGAUAUUAGCAGAAAACGCUGGGCUAACCCUCACGGGAGGUAGGUGUUCAAGUUGAUAUUGAUGACUGGGGUGAAGUCGGAACAAGGUA
rnacentral:rRNA from 1 species